rnacentral:rRNA from 1 species
AGCGAACGCUGGCGGCAGGCCUAACACAUGCAAGUCGAACGGUCCCUUCGGGGUUAGUGGCGGACGGGUGAGUAACACGUGGGAACGUGCCUUUAGGUUCGGAAUAGCUCCUGGAAACGGGUGGUAAUGCCGAAUGUGCCCUUCGGGGGAAAGAUUUAUCGCCUUUAGAGCGGCCCGCGCCUGAUUAGCUAGUUGGUGAGGUAAUGGCUCACCAAGGCGACGAUCAGUAGCUGGUCUGAGAGGAUGACCAGCCACAUUGGGACUGAGACACGGCCCAAACUCCUACGGGAGGCAGCAGUGGGGAAUCUUGCGCAAUGGGCGAAAGCCUGACGCAGCCAUGCCGCGUGGAUGAUGAAGGUCUUAGGAUUGUAAAAUCCUUUCACCGGUGAAGAUAAUGACUGUAGCCGGAGAAGAAGCCCCGGCUAACUUCGUGCCAGCAGCCGCAGUAA